rnacentral:rRNA from 1 species
AGCUCCAAUAGCGUAUAUUAAAGUUGUUGCGGUUAAAAAGCUCGUAGUUGGAUCUACGACCAAGUCAUGUGGUCAACCUGCCUGGUUGUACUGCAUAGACUGGUCCAAAUAUCCAGUAUUCGAUUGGUGCUCUUCAUUGAGUGCCUCUAGUUGCUGGAACUUUUACCUUGAAAAAAUUGGAGUGCUCAAGGCAGGCUCAAGCCUGAACAUUGCUGCAUGGGAUAAUAGAAUAGGACUUCGGUUCUAUUUUGUUGGUUUCGGAACACGAAGUAAUGAUUAAUAGGGACAGACGGGGGCAUUCGUAUUGCUGCGUUAGAGGUGAAAUUCUUGGAUCGUAGCAAGACGAACUACUGCGAAAGCAUUUGCCAAGCAUGUUUUCA